rnacentral:rRNA from 1 species
AUUGAACGCUGGCGGCAGGCCUAACACAUGCAAGUCGAACGAGUGGCGGACGGGUGUGUAAUGUCUGGGAAACUGCCCGCUGGAGGGGGAUAACUACUGGAAACGGUAGCUAAUACCGCAUACCAUCGGAUGUGCCCCGAUGGGAGUAGCCAGUAGGUGGGGUAACGGCUCACCUAGGCGACGAUCCCUAGCUGGGCUGAUAGGAUGACCAGUCACAAUGGAACUGGGACACGGGCCAGACUCCUACGGGAGGCAGCAGUGGGGAAUAUUGCACAAUGUGCGCAAGCCUGAUGCAGCCAUGCCGCGUGUAUGAAGAAGGCCUUCGGGUUGUAAAGUACUUUCAGCGAGGAGGCGGUACUCGCAGAAGAAGCACCGGCUAACUCCGUGCCAGCAGCCGCGGUAAUUC